AUUGUAUAUUGUAUUUUAGUGUAUUUUUAUUUUUUUGAGCAGUGUAUAUAUAUACAUAUAUAUAUAUUUCUCCGUGACACAAACCACUGGCUGAGGCCCCAACAACUUACAAUAAAUGAAAUUAAAUGGCUCCACUUAAAUUACGGUCACUUCACCUGCUGAGGUCUGAAUGCACAGCCUCACAAAUUUCUCCUGGUGACAUCUACAGAGAAAUCUGCGCUGGUUCAUCUGUCAGUUGGAUCUGUCUGAUCCAAACCGAUCAAUUGAACUCUGAGUUUUUUAUGGUGCACGUGGUCCAGUGUGUGUUUUUUCCAGGAUUUUUUUCUUGUGGUUUUGCUUCCCCGGAACGGACAGAUGUUACGUCUGCUGCGCUCAUCCUGAGCGCCGCUCUCCUUUUGGGCGUAAUGUCUUCUUUACCCAUAGGGUAAUGUUGAAAACUCAGGGUGAGUUUGCGUCCGCAUUGGCUGUGCAGCGGACUACGCAUUUAACUUCAGCACCUUUUAUUUAUUUCCUAAAGAUAAACUGCCGGCUCCUCUGUUUAGACUAUAAAUGGAUUAACACAACAUCUUUUUAGUUUUCUCUGUUCUGUUUGUAAUGGAGACUGAAAUUAAACGCACCUCGGGCUGAAAUGAUUCCUUGAGUGAUUCGAGUACCUCGAUUAUUAAAAUUCCUUGAGGAAAAUUUAUCUGCCUCGAAGCUUCCUUAAAUUAUGUUUUACUAUUUAAUGCGCUGUGUUCCGGCCAGGUUAUUACUUGCUUUGCGCAGAGCUCUAACUUCCAUGUAAGUUGUUGACGAAAGCUAAGCGUUAGCAGUAAAACGCCCAGUUUUCAAAUUUGGCCUGGGAGGAUUUUGUUGAUUCAUGAUAAUGUCUGGGUCUUUGUCGUUUUUCGGGGAACCAAUAAGCAUCCUUAAAAUGACUGGCGCGAUGCCUGGAGUACGACAGAUUUCUUCCUCCCGGAGCUGCUGCAUGGUGGCCAGUGUUCAGAGCGAACGCUGGGGAAGAGGGCUGCAAGUGUAUUUAUACAGGUGAGCGGAUAGACUGAACACUGCAGGCUACUGCGCAUUAGAUAAUUAACGUAAGCGUAGCUUUACGGACGAAUCGGAAAGUUUAUUUCAUAUCAUCCCGGUCUGAACAAAUGUGUUUUGGAGCUUAUCGUGGCGGAACGUAGCUGCUAGAUGUGUUUCUGUUGUGAACUGGGGUUUUGGUUUCUUUUUGGGAUUUUUCUGUUUGCCUGCUGUUUCCACCUUCGUCCACCAGAUGGUGACUAAAGACCUUGGAGGGCGUGCCCACUGACUCUGUCGGUGCACCUGUGAUUCAUCACUCAAUCAUUCCGGAGUAUAUGAGGAGCAGGCUGCCAGCACUUCAACGCCUGAGUGUUUGCCAGUUAUGGUGUAUCCUUGUGACACCUUGGAAAUUCCCCUAUCUUCAAUAAACCGUUCCUGGCAGUCGGUUCGCUCCUCGUUUCUCCACAUUUGAACUUACCUGUCCGCCCUCCUCCGCAAGCCUCUCCAUUCACCGUUGAUCAACUCUCCAUCAAGACCUCACACUAGAACCCGGAUCACUUCAAAGUAACUCACAAAGAGACCAUACCCUGGAGACCACUGUAUACCCCCCUGGCGGAAGGUUUUCUUCACAUCAAGUAAACUCAGUCAAUUCCUUCUUGAAGUUCCAAUUUCCGACUACCCAAACUCAACAUCCUUUUCUCACUGCUCUGUAGAGCACAGACGACCACGGUUGCCAACUCCAAGGACAAGAAUCACACAAUUGUACUUUUUCAUCUUUGUAAAAAAUAAACUUAAUUUAUCUGAU